AGAGCGAACGCUGGCGGCAGGCCUAAUACAUGCAAGUCGAACGGAUCCUUCGGGAUUAGUGGCGGACGGGUGAGUAACACGUGGGAACGUACCCUUUGGUUCGGAACAACUCAGGGAAACUUGAGCUAAUACCGAAUGUGCCCUUCGGGGAAAAGAUUUAUCGCCAUUGGAGCGGCCCGCGUCUGAUUAGCUAGUUGGUAGGGUAAAGGCCUACCAAGGCUACGAUCAGUAGCUGGUCUGAGAGGAUGAUCAGCCACACUGGGACUGAGACACGGCCCAGACUCCUACGGGAGGCAGCAGUAGGGAAUCUUGCGCAAUGGGCGAAAGCCUGACGCAGCCAUGCCGCGUGAAUGAUGAAGGUCUUAGGAUUGUAAAAUUCUUUCAGCGGGGACGAUAAUGACGGUACCCGCAGAAGAAGCCCCGGCUAACUUCGUGCCAGCAGCCGGC
rnacentral:rRNA from 1 species